AUCCAUUUACAUCCUGCUGCACACAUGGAGAGCACAUGGAGGCCCGACCCACCUGGUUCUGAUCAGCUACCGGGCAGGGAGAAGCUCUGAGCCCCGCACGCUGCCAGCGGAGGACACGUCGAGUCAACCGAAGAUGAACAGAGAUCGCUAGACGGGAGCUUCAGACCGGUCCUCAACAACAUGCUGGGAGGAAAUGUUGGGGACCCACGGGCCAGAGGUUUAGGGAUUAAGCCCUCAGCAGCUGGAUGAGACGGCCCUCCUGAUAGGACGAACCCCAGCAGCUGUAUGAGACGGCCCUCCUGAUAGG